CUCUGCUUCCUCAGGAAUCCCCUAACGUGAUGAGGAUCACACAGCAAAGAAGACACAGGCUUCAUCAUCAAGCAGACCUGGACCUGUCCUUCUCGCUGUCUACACUGGGCAAGUGGCUUCUCUAAACCUCAGUUUCUUCAUCUGUAAAAGGGGAAGAAUGUUCUACUGGCAAGAUUGUUGUGCGGGCCAAGGGAAAUGAGGACAUGAAACCCCAGCCACCAGCAGGUCUCAACAGGCGUCAGCAUCCGGGACACCAGCCACAGCUGUGAGGCUUCAGGAACCUGGUCCACUUGACCCUCCUCGCCAGAGUCACCAUCCAGACCCAGCCUUGACCCACAGCCGCUCUGGAGGGGACGGGGCAGUGGGAUUUGGGAUCGGGAGAACUUGGUUCAAGUCCUAGCCCUGCUGGUAUCUGCUGGCCUCCCCCAGGGCCUGAUUUCCCCGUCGGCCAGGUAAGGAUAAUGAUCUAUUGAUUUUAAAGCAUGUCACCAGGGCUAAAUGAGGCAUGAAAGUGCUUUGUCCCCUGGCACUUCUGCCCUUCCUGUUUUUGGUGCCAAAACCCUUAGCCUGGCCAGGCUUGGUGAGAGGCACCGUGAGGCUGCUAGCCUGAGCCCUAGCUCUGUCCCUGGCUGGCGGGCUGUCCUUUGCAAGUGACCGCUCUGCCCCAGUUGUUUCACCUGCAAAUGAUAACAGCCAGCACCAGCUUCGCUCAUGAUGGAAGCCCCGGUGUUAAGCCCCUGCCUCCGCCUCCACUUGGCCAGCUCCAGGCAAGGCGGCCACUGUGGCAGUGACUGUCAGAAUUGCUCUCUUACAAGGUGCUGCUUGCACCAAACUCAGGUGGGGGUGUCUGUGUUGCAAACACAAGCACACGCACUACACACACAUACACAGCACAUGCCACACACAUGCACACACCUCACACACCACACAUACCACAGGCAUACAUAUACACACCACAUAGCACAUAGAACACACACACACUCCACACACACCACAUGCCACACACCACACACAUACACCACACCCUGCACGUAUACACAGCACAUGCCACAUGUAUGCACACCACACACCACACAUACCACAAACAUACAUAAACACACAUCACACACACAGCACAUGCCACACACAUACCACAC
rnacentral:lncRNA from 1 species